AUUGAACGCUGGCGGCAGGCCUAACACAUGCAAGUCGAACGGUAGCAGGAAGAAGCUUGCUUCUUCGCUGACGAGUGGCGGACGGGUGAGUAAUGUCUGGGAAACUGCCUGAUGGAGGGGGAUAACUACUGGAAACGGUAGCUAAUACCGCAUAACGUCGCAAGACCAAAGAGGGGGACCUUCGGGCCUCUUGCCAUCAGAUGUGCCCAGAUGGGAUUAGCUAGUAGGUGGGGUAACGGCUCACCUAGGCGACGAUCCCUAGCUGGUCUGAGAGGAUGACCAGCCACACUGGAACUGAGACACGGUCCAGACUCCUACGGGAGGCAGCAGUGGGGAAUAUUGCACAAUGGGCGCAAGCCUGAUGCAGCCAUGCCGCGUGUGUGAAGAAGGCCUUCGGGUUGUAAAGCACUUUCAGCGGGGAGGAAGGCGGUGAAGUUAAUAGCUUCACCGAUUGACGUUACCCGCAGAAGAAGCACCGGCUAACUCCGUGCCAGCCGCCGCGGUAA
rnacentral:rRNA from 1 species